GGUCAAUGGGCUGAGACCUGAACCAGCCCAGUCGCAGUGAAGGAAGACGGUUCUAUGGAUUGUAAACUUCUUUUAUAGGGGAUUAAAGUUAUCCACGCGUGGAUAUUUGCAAGUACCCUAUGAAUAAGCAUCGGCUAACUCCGUGCCAGCAGCCGCGGUAAUACGGAGGAUGCGAGCGUUAUCCGGAUUUAUUGGGUUUAAAGGGUGCGUAGGUGGCCUGAUAAGUCGGGGGUGAAAAGCUUGUGGCUCAACCACAGUCUUGCCUUCGAAACUGUUUGGCUUGAGUAUAGAUGAAGUAGGCCGGAAUUUGUGGUGUAGCCGGUGAAAUUGCAUA
rnacentral:rRNA from 1 species